UACAGAGGAGCCAAGCGUUGUCCGGAUUGACUGGGCGUAAAGCGCACGCAGGCGGACGCGCGCGUGGGGUGUGAAAUCUGGCCGCUUAACGGCCAGGCGCCAUCCCAUACGGCGCGUCUGGAGUGAUGCAGAGGUCGAUGGAAUUGCCGGUGUAGUGGUGAAAUUCGUAGAUAUUCGCAAGAACACCAGUGGCGAAGGCGGCUCACUGGCCCGGUACUGACGCUGAGGUGCGAAAGCGUGGGGAGCAAACAGG
rnacentral:rRNA from 1 species